rnacentral:rRNA from 1 species
CUUCGGGUCGUAAAGCUCUGUUGUUAGAGAAGAACAAGUACGAGAGUAACUGCUCGUACCUUGACGGUACCUAACCAGAAAGCCACGGCUAACUACGUGCCAGCAGCCGCGGUAAUACGUAGGUGGCAAGCGUUAUCCGGAAUUAUUGGGCGUAAAGCGCGCGCAGGCGGUCUCUUAAGUCUGAUGUGAAAGCCCACGGCUCAACCGUGGAGGGUCAUUGGAAACUGGGAGACUUGAGUGCAGGAGAGAAAAGUGGAAUUCCACGUGUAGCGGUGAAAUGCGUAGAGAUGUGGAGGAACACCAGUGGCGAAGGCGGCUUUUUGGCCUGUAACUGACGCUGAGGCGCGAAAGCGUGGGGAGCAAACAGGAUUAGAUACCCUGGUAGUCCA